AAACCAAGAUGGUUAAGUUAUACAUGCUCGGUCAAAAGACAGUUAAGUAGUCCACAAAGUUUAUUUAAUUACUAUUGAGAAGUAAAAUUCGCAAAUAGAUUAGAAAUUUAGCCGUAACUAAAAAACUGAAGCUGUGACAUCCUCGGGGGAAACUGGGAUUAGAUACCCCACUAUUCUUGGAGAUAAAGUAGCUUAGAUACUUACCAGAGUACUACGGAUUUAUUUCAUUUAAAACUCAAAGGGCUUGGCGGUGUUUUAGACUCUUCAGGGGAACCUGUCUCGUAAUCGACAAUCCACGCUAUACCUUACCUUUAUUCGCUACCAGUUUGUAUACCGUCGUCGUCAGGUAACUUUUUAGAAAAAAGAAGUUAGCAGAAGAGCAGGAAAUAAUCUCUUACGUCAGAUCAAGGUGCAGCUAACAUAAAGGAGAGGAUGGGUUACAAUUAUAAAAGUCAUAACUACGGAAUAAUAAUUUGAAUGAUUAUCAUGAAGGAGGACUUGAAAGUAAAAUCUAUUACAUAAAUGUAUUGAAUCGAGCUCUGAAACGUGC
rnacentral:rRNA from 1 species